rnacentral:rRNA from 1 species
AGAGUUUGAUCCUGGCUCAGAUUGAAUGCUGGCGGCAUGGCUAAAACAUGCAAGUCGAACGAACCCGCAAGGGUGAGUGGCGAAAGGGUUAGUAAUACGAUCGAACGUACCCCGAGGUGGAGGAUAGCGGCGGGAAACUGCCGGUAAUACUCCAUGAUGUCUUCGGACCAAAGUUUUGGCGCCUUGGGAGCGGCGAUCGUCCUAUCAGGUAGUUGGCGGGGUAAUGGCCCACCAAGCCUUAGACGGGUAGCGGGUGUGAGAGCACGGCCCGCAACAUCGGAACUGAGACACUGUCCGGACUCCUACGGGAGGCUGCAGUAACGAAUCUUCCGCAAUGGGCGCAAGCCUGACGGAGCAAUGCCGCGUGCGGGAUGAAGUAUCUCUGGUAUGUAAACCGCUGUCAGGGGACGGAAACAAUGAUUGUCCCCAGAGGAAGUGGCGACUAACUCUGUGCCAGCAGUCGCGGUAAUACAGAGGCCACGAGCAUUAGUCGGAAUCACUGGGCUUAAAGGGUGCGUAGGUGGCUUGCCAAGUGCUUUGUGAAAUCCCACGGCUCAACCGUGGAACAGCAGGGCAUACUGGCAGGCUUGAGGCAAGUAGGGGCUGACGGAACAGUAGGUGGAGCGGUGAAAUGCGUAGAUAUCUACUGGAACGCCGAUGGUGAAGACGGUCAGCUGGGCUUGUCCUGACACUGAGGCACGAAAGCGUGGGGAGCAAACAGGAUUAGAUACCCUGGUAGUCCACGCCGUAAACGAUGCGCACUAGACCGGUGCGGUUUUGACGCCGUAUCGGUCGUAGUAAAAACGAUAAGUGCGCCGCCUGGGGAGUACGGUCGCAAGAUUAAAACUCAAAGGAAUUGACGG